UACGUAGGGACCGAGCGUUGUCCGGAAUCAUUGGGCGUAAAGAGCGUGUAGGCGGCCAACUAAGUCCUGCGUGAAAUCUCGGGGCUCAACCCCGAGCGGUCGUGGGAAACUGGUUGGCUAGAGUGCGGGAGAGGAGAGUGGAAUUCCUGGUGUAGCGGUGAAAUGCGCAGAUAUCAGGAGGAACACCGGUGGCGAAGGCGGGUCUCUGGGCCGAUACUGACGCUGAGGAGCGAAAGCGUGGGGAGCGAACAGG
rnacentral:rRNA from 1 species